rnacentral:lncRNA from 1 species
UGCAGGAGCAUCUCAAUAACUUUCAAAAGAUCCUUAUCGAUCUCCUCAGUGUUGGCGAGAAAAUUGAGGGGAAGACUAGAGUGUUGGUCUUACUUUCAUCGCUUUUUCCUUCUUUUGAGUCUUUGGUGACUGCUCGUCUAGUGAGAAAGAGCACCAUCAAGAUAGAGGAGGUCACUUCUGUAUUUUUUUAGAAUAAGGUUCUCAGAUGGGAGAAUCAAGCUUCUAGUUUAGGUGGUGACUCGACUAUGACGGUGACUGGAGGAGGUGGUGGCAGAGGAUGAAGAAGUAGAGGAUCGCAAAGUGGGCGGUCUAGGUCCAAGAUGAGGGAUUCGAGCA